rnacentral:lncRNA from 1 species
GGAUUCUGGAGGGCUGAGUUCUAGUUCUGGUCCUCACUACCUGGGGCACUGCAGGCAAGACCCCAGCUCCUCUGAGCUUCGGUUCAUCAUCUUCUAUAAAUACUAGUAGUGUUAGAGGAUGGUGGCUAUUGCCACGUGAAAAACAGAUCACUCCAUGCCUGUAGGAUUACUGUCAGGAUCAUUCUUUUAGGGAGCAAAACAUGCACAUGGAUUAAACCAGAAAGAUUUGAAAGACUCACUAGCUUACGUGACUAACUUUAGCUACUCUAAGAGUAUACAUCGGUAGAAGCAUUUUCAAAGGUCAUUAAGUAAUAUCAGCUUAAAGUUUCAGUGUAGUUACCCUUUGACUCAGCUACUUCCCUCCUAGGAAAUCCUUGCACAUGUCCAUAAAGAGAUAUACAAGGUGAAAAACUGCAACCCCCCUCAAUGUCCACUAAAGAGGGAUAAGAUGGACCAACACAAAUGAACACCAUGCGGAAGAUAAAAGAAUAAGAAGGUGUGCUCUUGGAGGAAAGGAAAAAAGUCCCGCACGGGGAGGAAACUGGGUAGAAAUUGAAACAAAAAUCCUCCGGAGGCAUGGACGUCGACAAGCCCUUCCCCAAUCUGGACAGCAGGUGGCGCAAGUGACCAAUAUUUCUUCAACCACCGCCAACCACCAAAGAAGAGAUAAGGUGUACGACAGAGUGAUUGAACACUUUUAUACCUUAUGCGAGGCUCACCACAAGGACGGGUGCCAUCUGUCACCAUACAACACUAUUCCAGUGCCAUUGACUCUGAUCCCUAGGCUGUGCCUUUCCUCCCUGCGACUUCUUCAUGCCAGAACUGGAAGGAGGCUGCUAUUUCAGAAAGGGUGGUCUGGGAAGUUUUCUAUAGUGUGGGGUGGUCAUGGGAGAGAGUGAUUCCUACAUCUACAUUUGUCUGUGAAAGGACACGUGCAUGUGCAUGGGAAAA